rnacentral:rRNA from 1 species
UGGGGAAUCUUGCACAAUGGGGGCAACCCUGAUGCAGCGACGCCGCGUGAGCGAUGAAGCCCUUCGGGGCGUAAAGCUCUUUCGACCGGAACGAUAAUGACGGUACCGGGGGAAGAAGCUGCGGCUAACUACGUGCCAGCAGCCGCGGUAAUACGUAGGCAGCAAGCGUUGUUCGGAGUUACUGGGCGUAAAGAGUGCGUAGGCGGUUUUCUAAGUUCGGUGUGAAAUCUCCCGGCUUAACUGGGAGGGUGCGCCGAAGACUGGGAAGCUGGAGUGUGGGAAAGNCAGGCGGAAUUCCUGGUGUAGCGGUGAAAUGCGUAGAUAUCAGGAGGAACACCGGCGGUGUAGACGGCUUGCUAGACCAUAACUGACGCUGAGGCACGAAAGCGUGGGUAGCAAACA